CCUACGGGCGGCAGCAGUGAGGAAUAUUGGUCAAUGGACGAGAGUCUGAACCAGCCAAGUCGCGUGAAGGAUGACUGCCCUAUGGGUUGUAAACUUCUUUUAUAUGGGAAUAAAACGUUCCACGUGUGGGAUUUUGUAUGUACCAUAUGAAUAAGGAUCGGCUAACUCCGUGCCAGCAGCCGCGGUAAUACGGAGGAUCCGAGCGUUAUCCGGAUUUAUUGGGUUUAAAGGGAGCGUAGGUGGAUUGUUAAGUCAGUUGUGAAAGUUUGAGGCUCAACCGUAGAAUUGCAGUUGAAACUGGCAGUCUUGAGUACAGUAGAGGUAGGCGGAAUUCGUGGUGUAGCGGUGAAAUGCUUAGAUAUCACGAAGAACUCCGAUUGCGAAGGCAGUUCACUGGACUGCAACUGACACUGAGGCUCGAAAGUGUGGGUAUCAAACAGGAUUAGAUACCCUGGUAGUC
rnacentral:rRNA from 1 species